UACAGAGGGUGCAAGCGUUGCUCGGAAUUAUUGGGCGUAAAGGGUAGGUAGGUGGUCUUAUUUGUCUGGGGUGAAAGCCUUGAGCUUAACUCAAGAAGUGCCUCAGAAACGGUGAGACUAGAGUACUGGAGAGGAUAGUGGAAUUCCCGGUGUAGCGGUGAAAUGCGUAGAGAUCGGGAGGAACACCAGCGGCGAAGGCGGCUAUCUGGACAGUAACUGACACUAAACUACGAAAGCGUGGGGAGCAAAC
rnacentral:rRNA from 1 species